CACUCAGGUGGUCCAGUGGUUAGAGCGUACGCCUUGGAUGCGGGAGGUCGCGGGAUCUAACCCCGGUCGAGUUA